rnacentral:rRNA from 1 species
CCCUUAGAUGUUCUGGGCCGCACACGCGCUACACUGAAGGAGGCAGCGUGUACUCCUGGAUCGAAAGAUUUGGGUAACCCGCGAAUCUCCUUCGUGCUAGGGAUUGAGGUUUGCAAUUAUCCUUCAUGAACGAGGAAUUCCCAGUAAGUGCAAGUCAUAAGCUUGCGCUGACUACGUCCCUGCCCUUUGUACACACCGCCCGUCGCUACUACCGAUUGAAUGGUCCGGUGAAGCCUCGGGAUUGCGAAUGCUUCGUGCGGACGCGAGAACUUGGCUAAACCUUACCAUUUAGAGGAAGGUGAAGUCGUAACA